rnacentral:rRNA from 1 species
UACGUAGGUGGCAAGCGUUGUCCGGAAUUAUUGGGCGUAAAGCGCGCGCAGGCGGUCCUUUAAGUCGGGUGUGAAAGCUCCGAGCUCAACUCGGAGAGGCCACCCGAUACUGCUGUGACUUGAGUCCAGUAGAGGAGCGUGGAAUUCCUGGUGUAGCGGUGAAAUGCGCAGAUAUCAGGAGGAACACCAGCAGCGAAGGCGGCGCUCUGGGCUGGAACUGACGCUGAGGAGCGAAAGCGUGGGUAGCAAACAGG